AUGACAAUGAGGAAUUUCUCUAUCUCACCUUUAUACCCUCAGAGCCUAGAAGAGUCCCUGGUACUAGCUGCUCUCUGUUUCUUGAGGGUGAAUUGUGAAAACUGUAUGACAAGUGUCCUCAACCCCCAGGCCACACAGCAGGAGGUGAAUGGCAGGUGAGCAUAAAAAACUUCAUCGGUAUUUACAGCUGCUCCCUAUCGCAUGUGUUACUGCCUGAGCUCCAC
rnacentral:lncRNA from 1 species